AUGUGAUAGUUAAGGGCUAUUUAAAGGGGGUACAGCCCCUUUAAAAAAGGAUACAGCCUCUAUUAGCGGAUAACCCUCACACACCCAACUCCGUGGGCCUUAAAGCAGCCACCCCCAAAGAUUGCGUCAAAGCUCCAUCAACUAAAAACCCUCAAAACCAAUACGACUCCCUACAUCCACAGCAGGCCAACCUAUAACAAUAGAUGAACUAAUGCUAGAACGAGUAACCAGGACACCACGUCCCCCCAAGCGCCAGCCUACCACACCAUUAACAGUAAAGCCUCAAUAAUAACCACCCCCACCAUUGAACACACCCUGUCAAUCCAACUCAGGGGCGCACACUGGAGUGAUCAUAAUCUACAAAAGGAACUCGGCAAACCUAAGACCCGACUGUUUACCAAAAACAUAGCCUUCAGCCAAACAAGUAUUGAAGGUGAUGCCUGCC
rnacentral:rRNA from 1 species